rnacentral:rRNA from 1 species
UACGUAGGGUGCAAGCGUUGUCCGGAAUUAUUGGGCGUAAAGAGCUUGUAGGCGGUUUGUCGCGUCUGCUGUGAAAUUUCGGGGCUCAACCCCGAACUUGCAGUGGGUACGGGCAGACUAGAGUGUGGUAGGGGAGACUGGAAUUCCUGGUGUAGCGGUGAAAUGCGCAGAUAUCAGGAGGAACACCGAUGGCGAAGGCAGGUCCCUGGGCCACUACUGACGCUGAGAAGCGAAAGCAUGGGGAGCGAACAGG